rnacentral:rRNA from 1 species
CACAAGGGAGACUAGUGUUAUUCAUCUUUAUUAGGUUUAAAGGGUACCUAGACGGUAUAUCAAGCCCCAAAAGGGAACGGAUAUACUAGAGUUUUAUGUGAGAGGCAAAUAUAGUACUAUUGGUGUAGAGAUAAAAUUCAUUGAUACCUCUAGGCACGGGUAACGGCGAAGGCGAUCCUCUAUGUAAAAACUGACGUUGAGGGACGAAGGCUUGGGGAGCGAAUAGGAUUA